ensembl:lncRNA
GGACGCUCCACCAAUCCAAGACGUGGAAAGUCGCAGCUCUGCCUCCAAAUACAUGACUGUCCAUUACUCCAGGUUGUCCAGUACAGAUCAGGUGCAGGUCCACAACCUGCCACUGGGUGGUGAUAAACAAACAAAAGAUUCCUCCAAAGUUGUUUACACUCUGCUGCCCCAGCCCCACCACUGACUGUGAAGGCACAGGCCAUCAGCUGAACAACACAUCAGUCAUUCUCUUAUGAGCCGAUUUCUUUGCUUCCAUCUGCCUGUCUGACUGGAAGUUGGAUCAGUGAGAACUUUGACAUUGUUCAUCGCUCUGGUUCAGACCUGAUGUUGCAUCCAGGAGAGUUGGUGAAGGCAGCAUGUCGUCCUGUCUAGAAGUCCAGCUCCUGAACUCUGUUGCAUGUCUUUCUUUCUUUGCAUUUCACGACUUCAUGCUGUCUGAUGAAAUACUGAAAGCCACUUUGCUUGCCUUCCUACCCACGGCAC